rnacentral:misc_RNA from 1 species
GUUUCAGAAGAAGCUGUGGCAUUUGUAAGUCACCAGAAAAUGUUGGGAGCACAUUUUUAGGGCUGGCUUCACAGAUUGAGCAAAUUAAACGUCUACAUUUAAUUCAUUGCCAGAAAUUGCAUAGGACAGGACAGGGUUUUCUUUUUCAUAUUUAUGUUGUCAAUUAUCUCUAGGCGAUUUAAAUGAGAGGGUGUUUUCUUUUCUGUCUUUUGUCAUUUAUUUUUGUUCCCUCUUUGUAUCAAUUUUAUAAACCCAUUUUCACAAGACACCCUACUAGAGUUUGACUUUAGAGUAAGAUUUGCCGUUUCGACCUUGGGAG